UGUAAGCGUAUACCAAAGUUGUUGCAGUUAAAACGCUCGUAGUCGGAAUUUGGCAGUUCCGGAUGUGUGCACGUCGUGUGCGCACUUCGCGGGGAUUGCUUUUGUGGUCUUGCGUAGGAUGAGGCACUUUUAUUAGUGAACGUCCUCACGCAACCACUCUUUACUGUGAGAAAAUCAGAGUGCUCAAAGCAGGCAUUUGCCGUGAAUGUAUUAGCAUGGAAUAAUAGAAUAGGACUUGGUUCUAUUUUGUAGGUUUGUUGGGACUGAGUAAUGAUUAAGAGGGACAGUUGGGGGCAUUUGUAUUUCGGUGCUAGAGGUGAAAUUCUUAGAUUACCGAAAGACAAACUGCUGCGAAAGCGUCUGCCAAGGAUGUUUUCAUUGA
rnacentral:rRNA from 1 species